ensembl:lncRNA
UAAUUACUUCACCUCUCAUUCCUAAAUGCUGUGGAAAUAUUAUUUAUGAAUAUAUAUUUCUACAAACUGUAAAGUAGAAGUUUAUUUGUUACUCACUAUACAGUUCUGCUAUAUUUUUAUCUUCAACAACUAUCUUAUGUGAUGAUCAAAAAGGGGGUUGGAUAGUAUAAUUGAUUAUCUUCCAUUGAGCAUUGAAGACUGUUUCCCCUCCCCUUGACUCCAGUUGACCUUGUGACUUGCUGUGACCUAUAAAAUGUGACCGGAGCAAUGGUGGGCAAGUUCUAGGGUCUGCACCCAAGAGUUCUGGCAGGUUCUCAUUUCGCUUGUUUUUAUAGAGUAAAACAAGAAUUGAACCAUAAUUGUAGGAGAGGAAGAGAGACCCCCGCGGCUCCCAGUCAUUCUUUGCGGAGGUUCCCAACAUGUAGGUGAAAUUAUCUUGGACAUUCCAGGUUCAUGUGAAGCUCCCGGCUGACUGCAGUCACAUUAGGGACCCUAGUGAAGAGGAAGAACCACCAACUGAGACGGCUCACUUCUCAGAAUCAUGAAAAUAAAAAAUUGAAACACUAAGGAUUCUGAGACGGACCUCAUUCUACUCAGACCUUGAUCUGCUUAGCAGUCUCAGCUGAAAAUGACUGUAUAAUCUGUCAACAUUUCCACUUGGAGAACCAAGAAUUAGAAUUCCCCUUAUUAUGGUCCCUGCAUAAACAGAGAAGCUACUCCAGUGGAGGUGAGGAGAGUGAAAAGAGGCAAGAGUGGACAGAGGAAAACAAUGCAUCUGGGAAUAUGACCUUGUUGGGACAUUGAGCAGCUGUUCCUGGUGGCUAUAUUUACAGAAGGAGAAAGAGAUAAUACGGUGAGUUUUUCUUAAAAUCAAAUAUGUGCAAUUUAAGAUUGCUUUUUAUUCUGUAAUUAUUUACUUCUUCUAUUUUUUGCUGUUCAAAUAUCCUUACUUGUGGACUUCAAUAUAAGCAGCACAGUGGAUUUCGUGAAU